AAGUCAUAACAAGGUUUCUGUAGGUGAACCUGCAGAAGGAUCAUUAGAGAAUUUUUAGGGAUUGAUUUCGAUCUUCCCGAACCUUCUUUUUCAUCCUAAACACCUGUGCAUUUGUUUGUUUGUGCGUAAAAAACACAAACAAACAAACAAUUUUAAACACACAAACACUAUGUUUUUUUGAACGUAAAAAAUAUUUUAACAAAUAUACAACUUUUGACAACGGAUCUCUUGGUUCUCC
rnacentral:misc_RNA from 1 species